rnacentral:rRNA from 1 species
UACGUAGGGUGCGAGCGUUGUCCGGAAUUAUUGGGCGUAAAGAGCUUGUAGGCGGUCUGUCGCGUCUGCUGUGAAAAUCCGGGGCUCAACCCCGGACUUGCAGUGGGGUACGGGCAGACUAGAGUGUGGUAGGGGAGACUGGAAUUCCUGGUGUAGCGGUGAAAUGCGCAGAUAUCAGGAGAAACACCAAUAGCGAAGGCAGCUCGCUGGGACGUACUGACACUGAGGCGCGAAAGCGUGGGGAGCGAACAGG